UUAUGUGAUCGUCUCUCGCAUAUCAAUAAGCGGAGGAAAAGAAACUAACAAGGAUUCCCCUAGUAACGGCGAGUGAAGCGGGAAGAGCUCAAAUUUGAAUCUUAAAGGGUUUCCCUUUACGAAUUGUAGUUUAAAGAAGUGUUUUCUGUUGAGGUUUUGGUAAAAGUUCUUUGGAAUAGGACAUCAUAGAGGGUGAGAAUCCCGUAUUUGACCUUUACUUUCAACUUUGUGAUACACUUUCAAAGAGUCGGAUUGUUUGGGAAUGCAGUCCAAAAUGGGUGGUAAAUUUCAUCUAAAGCUAAAUAUUGGCGAGAGACCGAUAGCGAACAAGUACCGUGAGGGAAAGAUGAAAAGAACUUUGAAAAGAGAGUUAAACAGUACGUGAAAUUGUCAAAAGGGAAGCGUUUGACACCAGUGUUGUUUUUCUGAAAAUCAAUUAAAGAACUGUUUAUGCUAAGCUGUUUAGACUUUAUCAGCUAACUGUUUAGUUUUGAGCUUUUCUUUAAUGCACUUUUCAGUUAACAAGUCAACAUCAAUUUCUUUUGCUGUAAAAAAGCUUGAGGAAGGUGGCUUGAGAUUCGUCUUAAGUGUUUAUAGCCUCUUGCCUAUGCAGUCGGAGAGAUUGAGGUCUGCAGCGUAGAUCCUUCGGGGCUAAAUGCAUUUGUGCUAAGUUAUAGCAUUUUAUAGACAACUUGUUGACUAUGAUUUGUCUUGUAGCUUACUCGCUUAUGUUAUUUUACCUACGCUUAGGAUGUUGAGUAGCGACAUACGCAC
rnacentral:rRNA from 1 species